rnacentral:rRNA from 1 species
UACGAAGGGGGCUAGCGUUGCUCGGAAUCACUGGGCGUAAAGGGUGCGUAGGCGGGUCUUUAAGUCAGGGGGGAAAUCCUGGAGCUCAACUCCAGAACUGCCUUUGAUACUGGAGAGCUUGAGUCCGGGAGAGGUGAGUGGAACUGCGAGUGUAGAGGUGAAAUUCGUAGAUAUUCGCAAGAACACCAGUGGCGAAGGCGGCUCACUGGCCCGGUACUGACGCUGAGGUGCGAAAGCGUGGGGAGCAAACAGG